UCCUGGGCGUCUGGGUGCUGCUGGUGGUGACCACGGCCGGUGCCCUCGUCAUUGCCGCCUGCUGCCUCGUCUGCACCUGCCAGGCCUUGUGCUGCCGGGCGCAGGACCGGGAGGAGGCGGGGGUGGGUACAGAGCCACUGGUGCGUGCCCGCAGCCCAGGCCCAGCCGGGUGAAGAAAUGCAUGUGGACAGUGCCUGAGCCGGGCACGACCCCAGGGCUGCAUCGUUACCAGGCCCACUCUGCCCCUGCACUGGCUGCAGCUGUGCCCAACACCGUGCCGUGCCGUGCCCUGUCUACGGGCAAUAAAACAUCUCCACAUCUGCA